CUACGUGCCAGCAGCCGCGGUAAUACGUAGGUCCCGAGCGUUGUCCGGAUUUAUUGGGCGUAAAGCGAGCGCAGGCGGUUAGAUAAGUCUGAAGUUAAAGGCUGUGGCUUAACCAUAGUACGCUUUGGAAACUGUUUAACUUGAGUGCAAGAGGGGAGAGUGGAAUUCCAUGUGUAGCGGUGAAAUGCGUAGAUAUAUGGAGGAACACCGGUGGCGAAAGCGUCUCUCUGGCUUGUAACUGACGCUGAGGCUCGAAAGCCAGGGGAGCGAACGGGAUUAGAUACCCCGGUAGUCCUGGCCGUAAACGAUGGGUACUAGGUGUAGGAGGUAUCGACCCCUUCUGUGCCGGAGUUAACGCAAUAAGUACCCCGCCUGGGGAGUACGACCGCAAGGUUGAAACUCAAAGGAAUUGACGGGGGCCCGCACAAGCGGUGGAGUAUGUGGUUUAAUUCGACGCAACGCGAAGAACCUUACCAGGUCU
rnacentral:rRNA from 1 species